rnacentral:snoRNA from 1 species
UUUUGAAUGAUGACUUAAAUUGUCGGAUACCCCUUCACUCCUUCUAUGAGUAAACAAAA